AGAGUUUGAUCCUGGCUCAGAACGAACGCUGGCGGCAUGCCUAAUACAUGCAAGUCGAACGCGCCUAGCGAUAGGCGAGUGGCGGACGGGUGAGUAACGCGUGGGAACCUGCCCUUGAGUGCGGGAUAACCGAGGGAAACUUCGGCUAAUACCGCAUGCGCCCCGGGGUGACCUGGGGGAAAGAUUUAUCGCUCGAGGAG
rnacentral:rRNA from 1 species